rnacentral:lncRNA from 1 species
CGCCAAUCCCAAAGCGGCUCGAGGCGACGUCAGAGGAAGUGUGAUAGCAGAGGAAGGGGCAGCCCGACGCCACUGGUGGCCGCGCCUCGAUGUCAUAACGCGGCAGCCGCCGCUGCCAAACCGCCCAGGCAACGACCAGCACCGGGGCGCGCGCUCUCCUUCCGCGGUCGUGCGCAAAGCCGAAGGGAUUUAGCGAUCGUACAAAGAUUCCGGCCACAAGUUCCUCUGUUACAUUAUUGCGUGCUGAUCUGCUCAAACACAGAAGACUCCAAAUCAAGGCAUGUUCAGGAAUGACAUAGAUCCUGGAAAAGGAAGGACAAAAGGAGAAGUGCAUCCUGCUUUUAUCACACUGAGUGCUAUUUUUCAUAAGCACUGCUGAACUGGAAAACUUACUGAUUGAUGGCCAGGAAGAUAUUGCUAAUAGUGCUUCACAUCUGCAUUUGUUAAUUGUACAAUCGCUGGCUAUUAGGGUUAAACUCUUUCUCAAAGCAACUAGUAUUUAAGUUUAUUAAUAGUUGUCACGCUCAUCAGUAGUCUAGGAAACAUGUUUUAUUUUCUGGGCUCUUCUAGAUAACAAACGUGGAAGAAUUUACUAUUCUUACUGAGAAUGAAAUAUAUCUGCCUACUGCCUGCUGAUGCUGUGAUACAAAAAUAUGAAAGUAAAUACACUUAAAAGAACAGCCUUCUUCCUACAACAUACUGAACACAAAACUAUAUUCCCCUGGCCAUAGGUGAAAACAGCCAAUAAGGUCAUGUAGAUAUAACACAGACAAUUUCAGCCUCCAGAGUAUUUUAUGCUGUUGGAAUAAUUUGCUGGAAAAUCUUGGCUUUGAAGCUUUACAGCUAUCACUGUAUUGUGGUCUGUGGCUUUGCUGUAACAUAAUAUGCAUAUGAAACAUUGCUCUUUUUGACAUACGGGAUCACAGGUGCUUGCUUUUAAUGGUUAUUCAUCAUUCCUUCUAUAGUCUUAGUAAGUCAAAACCCUUUUUAUUUGGGAUGUUCAACCCUGUCAAUCUUCUCAUACUUUCCUCACUCUUCCCUAUCAAUCCCUAUCAUAUUCUGCAGUAAUGCAAACCCAGAGUAGCUCCACUGAUUCUCAAAUGUACAGCUGAAAGCAUCAGAUUCACAGAUGGCAGCAGCUGAUGCUGCCUACGAAGUUCCUUUCCCUUUCCAUAACCCAUUCACGUCCUUCAUCGUCACACUUGACAACGUUUCCAGUUCUGCUCAGUGUGACUUUGCAUAGAGUCAUGCUCUGGGCUCCAGCGUUACAUCACCCAAACGCA